CUGUCGUAUCAUUGGUCCUAAGGUAGCAGAAUUCCUUGAC
rnacentral:rRNA from 1 species